GACGAACGCUGGCGGCGUGCUUAACACAUGCAAGUCGAACGGAAAGGCCCCCUUGUGGGGUACUCGAGUGGCGAACGGGUGAGUAACACGUGAGUAACCUACCCUUGACUUUGGGAUAACUUCAGGAAACUGGGGCUAAUACCGGAUAGGAGCUCCUGCUGCAUGGUGGGGGUUGGAAAGUUUCGGCGGUUGGGGAUGGACUCGCGGCUUAUCAGCUUGUUGGUGGGGUAGUGGCUCACCAAGGCUUUGACGGGUAGCCGGCCUGAGAGGGUGACCGGCCACAUUGGGACUGAGAUACGGCCCAGACUCCUACGGGAGGCAGCAGUGGGGAAUAUUGCACAAUGGCGGAAGCCUGAUGCAGCAAACGCCGCGUGCGGGAUGACGG
rnacentral:rRNA from 1 species